AGGGCAUUUAUGUUCACAAAAUACCAGCUUAUUUUACGUUAUAUUAACGACUGGUUAGUUUUGUAAAUUAUAAGUCAAUGGACAGGGAAAACGAUUCUGUGGUAAAGAGAGAAAUACGUGCAGUUUAUAUUGACUUUAUAUUGUGAUGUUAUUUGUUGCAGUGAAAGACGGCCGGAAAUUUCGCUACAUCGCUGUACUGGAAAUUCGACCAUGGAUAAAGAGACAACGCUUGAAUAAAAGAACUGCCUGUCUUAUUAAUGGUAAGUUUUUAAAGGGUUUUCACUUUUCGGUAAUAUUUUUUCAUAGUUUAAAUGUACAGUCCGUUUGUAAACUAUAAAGUCUUUGUUAAUUACAUUUCGCCAAUUUCGGUAUUUGAAAUAUUGAACUUUAUUCGACAACUAUUUAUAAUAUUUUCUGUGUUGGUGCAAUGUACUCAGGUGAAUAAGAUGCUUGUGAUGUUACUCUGAGUGUAUAUCCACACCGGGCAAGCUUGAAAAAUAUGCCUGACCACCAAAGGUCGUAGGUUCGAUUCCCACCGUGGUCAGGCAUAUUUUUCAAGCUUGCCCGGUGUGGAUAUACACUCAGAGUAACAUCACAAGCAAACUAUUUAUAAGUCUUUAUAUUUUCAUGCUUCUCAGGUAUAAUAAAUGAUCAAGAUCCAACAAUCGGGCUUUGCAAGAACAUAAAAUUAAUAAAAACCCAAUUAAAGUGUUUAUAUCACGGCAACUACCGACAACAAGCAAAUGUAGUUAUUUGUAAAAAUGCAUGGCUGUUAUGAGGAAACCCAAAAUAUAUAAAUGAAUUGAUGUAAAUAAUUUAUAGCUAGUUUCUGUUCGUACUGUAGUACUAAAUUGAAAUUCUAAUAAACAUCUUAGACACAUUAUAUACACACUUUAUAGGACUUUUUGUUUCGUCCAACUUAAUAAUACAGUCAUAAAUAGAUCACAGACAUGGUCAUAGACUGGAAGUAAACAAUUUUCAACUAUUUGAAUAACUCGGUAACAAUACAAGUAACUAUAAGAAUGCAGUGAAAGUAUGUACAGUAUUUGCUUGUUGUCAUAUAUAUAUAUAUAUAUAUAUAUAUAUAUAUAUAUAUAUAUAUAUAUAUAUAUAUAUAUAUAUAUAUAUAUAUAUAUAUAUAUAUAUAUAUAUAUAUAUAUAUAUAUAUAUAUAUAUAUAUAUAUAUAUAUAUAUAAAAAUACAAAUUGGUUUUCUCCUUCUGCCGUAUAGUGCUCUACACCAAAGUGGAGCUAAGUUAAAAUUAAAAAUUAAAGAUUAAAACCUAAGAAUGUUCAUUAAAAAUUGAAAAGCACUACAGUUCUGUUUCGAGAGGCCCUUUCUAGAUCCUCUCUCUUCAGGUGCAGAUCCUCUCUCUUCAGAUCCUCUCUCUUCAGAUCCUCUCUCUUCAGGUGCAUAUAUAUAUAUGUAUAUACACAGAUAUAGGGUUGACACUUUAUGGGGGCAGGGGUAUAAACCUUAUCUGACACUGAGAUAGGGGUGAACACCUUGUGUUACACGUAGGGGUAUAAACCUUAUCUUACACUGAUAUAGGGGUGAAUGCCUUAUGUUACAUAUAGGGGCAGGGAUAUAAACCUUAUCUUACACAGAUAUGGGUAAAUGCCUUAUGUUACAUAUAGGGGAAGGGAUAUAAACCUUAUCUUACACAGAUAUAGGGGUGAAUGCCUUAUGUUACAUAUAGGGGCAGGGAUAUAAACCUUAUCUUACACAGAUAUGGGUGAAUGCCUUAUGUUACAUAUAGGGGAAGGGGUAUAAACCUUAUCUUACACUGAUAUAGGGGUGAACACCUUAUGUUACACAUAGGGGCAGGGGGGAAAUCUUGUCUUACACUUAUAUAGGGGUGGACACCUUAUGUUACACAUAGGGGUAGGGGUAUAAAACUUAUCUUACACUGAUAUAGAGGUGAACACCUUAUGUUACAUAUAGGGGAAAGGGUGUAAACCUUAUCUUACACAGAUAUAGGGGCGAACACCUUAUGUUACACAUAGCAGGGGUAUAAACCUUAUCUUACACUGAUAUAGGGGUGAAUGCCUUAUGUUACACAUAGGAGCAGGGGUAUCAACCUUAUCUUACACUGAUAUAGGGGUGAAUGCCUUAUGUUAUUUAUACAGGCAGGGGUAUAAACCUUAUCUUACACAGAUAUAGGGGUUAACACUUUAUGUUACACAUAGGGGCAGCCCUCAGGGUAUAAACCUUGUCUUACACUGAUACAGGGGUAUGUUAUUUAUACAGGCAGGGGUAUAAACCAUAUCUUCCACAGAUAUAGGGGUUAAAACUUUGGGUUAACUAAUGACUAUUUUCCACAAAUGAUUUGAAAACGUAAAUUACCAUCAGUGACCCCCUUUGGCACUGCACCCCCUUCCCCCCCCCCCAUCCCUAUAUUUUCCAAGUCAGUUUCCAAAAAUAGAGAAAUAUACUCAAAUUGUUGUGGAUAGCAAAAAAAUCUUCUUCCAUCAAAUUUUAAUUAAUUAAUAGGGUAUUUUCAGGGAUUUUUUAGGACUGCCCAAAAAACUUGAUCUUGAAUGGACCUUUAACCUUAUAACUAAAAUUUUGAUUUAGACAAAAAUUUCAUCACAGCUUGAAAGAGCAUCACAAAAUUAGUAAUAUUCCAAAGUUUCGUUGCGAAAUGUUGUAAAAUGCAGAUAAUUAUAGCCCUGCGAAGUUUGCAAUUUUCAGUCAUUUUAGAUUACAAAUGGGAAGUUGAUACCCAAAUCGGGUGUUUUUUAUGUUUUUGUCUGGACUUGUCUAGAUCAAAAUUUUAGUUAUAAGGUUAAAGGUCCAUUGAGUUUUGAAACUCAAUCUUCUCGCCAAAAAUGUCAUUGCAGUAUGAAGUUGUUUGAGUUAAAUUUGUGACGUGCGUAAAUUAGUUUUUGAAACUUGGAAAUUUAAUUUGGAAACCUGAUAAUUAAGAAGAAAAACUAUGCAUUUACAGUAUUUGGCAUCUUUUUAUUAACUAGUUUAUAGUGUCCCUUAGUGCUAAACUCAAUUGUUUCUUGUCUGUGGGUCAAACUCAAAACCAUUUCUCAUCAGUGAUUGUUUUUAUCAGAGGAACAGUUUUCAACAAUUUUCAGAAGAUUGGAGUGGGUUGGGGCAUGCCAGAAUAUUAGAGAAUUUAAGUUCGACUUCCAAUACCAAUGUUUUCACUUCCGUUCUCAUUUUGGUACCGGGAAUUUUACAGUGUGUCUACUGUAAGUGGGGCCACUUAGAGAACACUAACCAAUCGCAUUGCAGAACAAAAAGCAAAAUUUAAUCAAACUAAAGCUCGUCCAAUCAAAAGAAAGAUUCAGGAAGCCAUUAACUGCAGUGUGUUAUUUUCCGCUGGCUGAGGCACGAAAGAAGCGGAAAAUGUUUUCUCACACACUGCAGGGGGCCUGAUGAAAUCAGGGUGUUACAGGGUGGUGCAGGUUAUAUGAGCAUAUUUUUGUUGUUGCUCACCGUAGCUUGACAGUAUCCCACCCACCCAGCCCUUUUAUGUUUAUUAGUACAGAACGGCGUUGGAUUGUAUCAUUGUAUAUAUAUGUACUUGUUAGGAUAAUUAUUAAGCGAGCAAUUGUAAUGUAUGGUAGUUUAAAUUAAUAAAUGUCAAGCUUGCGGCUGACGCUGCAGCAGCUCCCAGCGGUGUGUGAGAAGUUUACUUUUACAAAUCUAUUUUUACCGUUUGACAUUUGUUUACUUGUUCAAAUUGUUUUUGGCCUACUGCUGAUUGGCUAAUGUGCCGCUUGUUGAUUUUUUCAAUUUGUGUUGUGCAAUGUGAUUGGUUAGUGUUCUCUAAGUGGCCCCACUUACUGUAGACGCACUGUAAAGCGUUAAGUUUAUCACCACAUUACUUAAUGUCGUGAUAAAAUAGAACACAUUAAUCAUCACCGAAAAUGUGCCAGGCCUUAAAAUAUCUUUUACAGGGCCGUCUGACAAAAUGUCCGGUGACGUUGAGUUUGGGUCGGACAUAUGUCCGAUAACCUUCAGUUCAGUUUUGGCUCGGAAAUAAGUCUGAAUGACACAAAUGAAUAAACGGUAAAUGUUGUAAAGAUACUAAAUAAUUUGUUUCUUUCAUACUUAUUUCCAAGCCAAAAUUAACUUGCGUGUUAAAAAAAGACUUCGACAACUUAAGUCCGUUUUCCACUUCACCAUUUCGCUCGCCGUCCCGCGCUCGACUCCGUUAAAACAACAUUUCCAGUUCACCUUUUAUACAAUAGUACUCUGAUUUUCCAUUUAACAUACAAGCCUCUAGUCCUGGGCUAGGGUACAUUUUGAUUUACGUCUGACAAAGCUACAGUUCGGUCGGACACCAAUUCACUCGGGUCGGACUAACAAUAAACCUCAGUUUCAUUUUGGUCGGACAGAAUGUCCGGUGGUUUCCUCUCUGCGUCGGACAAUUUCACAAAUGGGUCGGACAAUGUCCGUGACCGACCGAUAUUUUAAGGCCUGUGUGCGGUAUACUAAAUGGCAGCUGAGCUAAAACAUGACUCGGGCGAUGCUAAUAAACAAAUAGUUUACAUGUUUAUUGUAAAAAUUAUGAAAUAUCCAAUUUAUAUGAGUUUAUCUUACAAUUCCCCCGACUUCCAAUACAAGGCCGACUUCGGUAGUGCUGACUUCCAAUACACUUGCCCUCAUGCUUCUUGCAAGCAGAGAGCAUGCAUGUGACAUGUUGUUUAAUAGUAUCGGUAUUGGUAUCGGAAGUCGAACUUAAACUCUCUAUUUUACUCCAUCGACCACCAGACAAUUUUACUUGUCAAGAGGAGAGUGCUGCCCCUUAAUGGGUUAAUUAAAUUAAUUAGACAAUAUCUGCCAAUGCACACUGUUGAUGGAUUAAGGGGGUCUUCCACCCUAAAAACAUUUUUUUCAAUUUAAAGGUUUUAUCGUAUUUGAGUCAAAUAUGAUGGAAUAUCCUCAGCUGACGCAGGAUCAGUAACUUUUACAUUCGUCGUUGCCAUAGUAACUAAGAUAGGCCUUGCUAUAGGGUAAAAUAUAGGGUUUGCUCCAAAAAUGAUGUGAGCCAAACUAAUUUACCGAGGAUUUUAGAAACAGCUUUAAUGGACACUUAAUACAUCGAUCUAUGUCAUGAACCUAAAAAAAAUACAAGUAAUACAAUAAGGCCUUCAUAUUUUACUUUUUUAAAAUUAUAUGAAGAAAGGAACAAUAUAAUUGAAAAUGGAACAAUAGACUAAACCAAUCGCAUAUCUUUAUCGCUCCGGGUAAAAUCGUGGUUUUACCCUACGAAGGUGUAGAAUUUGCUGGAUUUCUCUGGUUUACGGUACAUUUUCGUUCUUAAAAUUACACGGAUUUUAUAAAAAACGCUAUAAAGACUACAUUUUUACGUUUUUGUAAAACAUAACGAAUAUUGGAAAAUUUGGGUGGAAGACCACCUUAAUGUCCAAGACUCUUCUCUUGAUGAGUAAAUUCAUUGGCCAUUAGUUAGAAUACAAAAAUAAAGUUGGGAGUACUGCAGCUUAAUCCAUUGAGCCACAAUGUGCCCCACUUAUUUAUUUACUUGUCUCAUCAGUGGUGUAACUUCACUUUUUUGCCCUCGGUGCAAGUUGGACAUGAAAUUAGGUGCCCUGAAUAAAAUUUACUUGCCGUCAGACAAUGGCGAUACACUGGGGUACCUAGGUACGGGGUAUAAGUUAAGGGAACAACAUUUUGGUCUGUUCUCCCACUGCUCUUAAAGGCUAUGUUAUACUGCCUCAGAUCUACCUUUGGCUCUCAAAAAAUAAAAUUUCAAUCAAUAAGUACAUGCACUAUAAAAAAAUUAUCCAACAAUGAAAACAUAAACUUAAAGAUGCUGAGCUUUUGGUGGCAAGGCAACUUGCCCAAACGGGCAAGCAAGAUAAAGCGUUUACUUGCCGGUCAUGAUAUUAACCCCAGGCAAGCGUUAAGUUACACCUCUGCUAAUGCCAGAUGAUUUUACUUGUCAAUGGGGGAGCUCUGCAACUUAAUGGGCUAACCACAAAAUCUGACAAUAUCCCUAGUUAACCCAUUGACUGAGCCACAAUGCGCCCCAGUAUGCCCUACUUAUUUUUUUACUUGUCUAAUGCCAGACGAUUUUACUUGCCAGUGUGGAAGCUCUGUAGCUUAACCCAUUGAGUCGCAUUGCACCCAGAUGCACCCUACUUUAGUAUUUUACUCUGUCUAACGCCAGACGAUUUUACUCGUCAAGGGGAGAGCACUGGCGCCUUAAUGGGUUAACUGGCCUAUCUGCCCAUGUGUCUAGUUAAUGAGUUAAUCAAUUAAUCUUAUUCAUCUUAGACAACAGCAAUUGAACUAUGUGACAGGAACUGUUACCAAUGUCUACAAGCCAUUAUCGACUCAAUCUUUGGACAACCAAAAACAUUUCUCCAACAUGUUGUUAUUCUUGGACGUGUUAGUUCAUUUGGAUUUGCAGAUGAAGUCCUUAAAAGGUCAGUUUAAUUAGUUUGUAUCAUAUUUACUAAUGACUAUUAUACUGUACAAAUGAUAUGAAAAUUUUCCUCCAAUGAUCCCCCUUUGGCACUGUGCCCCCCUCCCCCUGCCUCUAUGUUUUCCAAGUCAGCUUCCAAAAAUAAAGAAAUAUACUCAAAUUGUUGUAGGUGGCCAAAAAAUGUCUUAAAUCAAAUUAGGGUUUCUUCAGGGAUUUUUAAGGCUGCCCCAAAAACUCAAUCUUGAAUUGAGUUUUGAAAUUUGAUCUUCUGACCAAAAGUUUCAUUGUAGUAAAAAUGAAGUUGUUUGAGUUUAAUACAUUUGUGACAUGUGGAGAUUAGUUUUCACUUUUCAGUUUGAAACCCGACAAUUUCUUAAAAAUUUCCUGUGUCCCUUCACAUUUUACAAAAAAUUUAAAGCAUGUUUUUAUCAGUCGAAAGUAAUUGUUUUGAUGAGAGAUGUGUUUCUUGACACUUUUGAACAAGGUUCGUACAACACUUGAAAGUCCUUGAAUGUCCUGGAAUUUGUAAAGAAGUACUUGAAUGUCCUUGAAUUCUUCUUGGUUUAGUUUAUGGAUACUUUCUGAAAUUGUUUGACAUUCAAGACGGACAUUUUGUUGAACUGAUUUUGCAUGUUCAUAUCUCACCUCAUUAAAAAGUUACGUUUUGAACAAUUCAACAUCAGAUUUUGCUGAUUUUUAACGCCUUCUUCUUCAGUAUUUAGUUCUUGAAUUUGCUCAUACAUGGCCUUGAAUGUCCUUGAAAAGUCCUUGAAUUUGACAAUUCCUGACAUGUACGAACCCUGUUUCAAGAAGUUUGAAAUAGUUUGGGGCACUUUUUGAAUUUUUGAGAAAAUUUUCUGUGAAUUUUACCAACGCAGCAUAUAAAUUAUAAAUGCUGAAUAAUAAUUGUGUAUGCAAAUAAGGCAAUUUGAAUCCUAUUGGCGUACAAAAUUGUUAUUCAGAAUUUACAAUUUCUAUGCUGCAUCCAAUCUAUUGACCAAUCAGGGGAUGCUUUUGUAAAUACCCAUGUACCCAAAUAUUCAGAAGUCUUUAUUUUUAUGCUAAAACAGAAACAUUCCAGUGAAUAAAUUAAUAAAAUUAUAUUCAAAUUUAGGGUGUGUUGCAGCUGUAUAUUUUGCCGCUGCCUUGUGUGGUCCUCGCCUGUUUGUGAAAAAAAGUACUUUGAAGAUCAAGAUACAACGCUUAAAUAGAGUAAAGCACCAAAUGCCGAAGUUAAAGACAGGAUUAAGGUAUGUUUUAUCAAUUUGAUGUGAAAUGUUGAUACAUUUCGUGAGUUAAAGUGGUUGAAACUGCUUGUCGAAUUUGACAAUUGCAAGUCGCUUUGUGUUCAACAUUUUGUGGUGGUUUAUAUAGAUACUGAAUUCAGUGGUGUAAGAGAGGAACCCUUAGGCAUAUUUGGUGUGGGGGGCCUGUCAACCGUUGAACUAUUGUUUGACUGAGAUGUUAUAUUUAGCUAUAUUUCCCUCUCUAUAACAAUCACAGCUACGACACAACUAAGGAGCCAAUUAUCUGGAGCACUUUCAACCCAGAGGUUGAACUCAGUGCUGUUAACAGGUUUGAAUUUUUUGUGAUUACAUGGAUGAUUUCGACGCCAGGUUUGAAAUGCUAUAUGUCCCUGGCAUUGAUUCCCGGUAGAGACCUCUACCAGCAAAGAGGGUUGAAUUUCAACCCCGGGGUUGAUAAUAAUGUAAUGUAAUUGUGUGUUUGAUUUUUUUGAAGUUUUGUAUUACACACAGGGAUGAAAUUUCAACCCAGUCAACAGAGCUGGGUUCAACCACGGGGUUGAAAAUGCUCCAUGUAAUCGGCUUCUAAUAAGAAUAAGAAUACCGUUUGUUUUAUUUGAGAUGGAAUAACAAAUUCAGUUGAUUAUUUAGCAUUAUUAAUUUUGCAUUUUCCCAUCAAUUCUUAACCUGCAUUUUUACAUCUUCUCAUUUUCUGGGCGACGGGUCAUGGCUGUGUGUGGGGGGGGGGGGGCUUAACUGUCGGCCCCUAAUUUGAAUUAACCCUGCCUAAUACCUCAACGUUUCGUGAAGUUUAGUUCAAAUUAGCAGAGAUGAGUGCAUAAAGUAUUUAGGAUAUUUUGAAGCUAAAUUUGUUUUUAAAUUUGUCAUUUUAGUGAAUACAAGAAAUGUUGAAUAGUCUGCUGCAAGGAGACAUCGGACAUUGUAAUGAAUGGAUGAUAAUGUGAGUCGCUGGCACACCUACAGCCCCUACUGCGAUAGGCAGUCAAGUAUUUUUAACCUGCACAUUUUUGUUUUUAUUUCCCCUAUUUUAUUUUAUGUUCAUAAAUAUCAUGACUUUUAAUGUUGGAAGGAGUUGAGAGUCCCCACUCAACUGCAUGCCUUCUGAAUAAUAAUUAUAGACUCCAUUUUACAUGCUACCAUUUUACCUGUGAGAAUUUUUUGAAAAUUUUGAGAUUUGAAAGCUAUUGCUUUCAACUAUAUAGAGCCCAACUAUAUGUCAUUGGCUCUGGGAAUAAAUGGGUGUACUGUUUGUGUUGAAUGGUUUGAAGUGUUGCAGGUAUCUUGUGAUCUCUAAUAAAGUUGUGAUAUUAUUUCAGUGCUGUUUCUAUAGAGGCCCAGCUCGCUUUUGCUAUAUGCCUUAGCCUAAAUAAUUUCAGUUCUAUUUCAAUUAAAAUAUUUUAAGUACUUUCCAAUAAGGCCUAGCUCCCUAUGGCUAUAUGCCAUAGCCUAAAUAAUUUCAGUUAUAUUUCAAUUAAAACAUUUUAAGUACUUUCCAUAAAGGACAGCUCGCUAUGGCUAUAUGCCUUAGCCUAAAUAAUUUCGGUUAUAUUUCAAUUAAAACAUUCUAAGUACUUUCCAUAAAGGACAGCUUGCUAUGGCUAUAUGCCUUAGCCUAAAUAAUUGCAGUUAUAUUUCAAUUAAAACAUUUUAAGUACUGUUUCCAUAAAGGACAGCUUGCUAUUGGCUAUAUGCCUUGGCCUGAAAAAUUUCAAUAUUAAAUUUAGCAUUUAACUAUAUUGCUUAAGCUUUUGAAAUAGACAUCGCAGUUUAUUGAUAUUCAAAUUUAUUAAGAUUUACUGCCUAUGUGACAUGUUUUAGUUAUGAUGAAAGGCAAGUAUAAAUUGCCAUUGGAGUAAAAGUGUAUUUAUGUUUUAUAAAACUGUGCAGUAGUUUUACACAACUAUAUACAGUGUUACUAAACUGCAUGCUAAAAGUUUCUGUUGACUGUUACUCUGUUAGAAUGGUGGCUUGUAAUUUGGGGUAUCUGGCUAGGAUUUGACAUUUAAAUAUUUACAAGUGCAUUAGGUCUCUUAGGUUUAGUUUAAGACCAACAUGAGCGAGUGAGAUAAACUCGACUAGCUUAUGUAGGUUAAGGCAUCAAGCGUGAAUUCCGUGGAAUGCGUGCGUGCACUAGACCCCUCAGGAUCGGAUCCCAAACCUUUUUUCAAUACCAAAUGUGAAAUUACCCCACCUUACCACAUCGUCGAAGAAUUAUGGUGGAUAUCUUGGGCAAAUGUGCAAUACUAUGAGGGAUAUCUUGGGCAAAUGUGCAUUUUCUGGGUGGAUAUCUUGGGCAAAUGUGCAAUACUAUCAGGGAUAUCUUGGGCAAAUGUCAAUAUGAUGAGGGAUAUCUUCGCAAAUAUCUUGGGUAAAUUUAUCUUAAAUUGCUAAAGAACAAUGUUGUAAGGUUAGUAGAUAUUUAUAUUAGCGAUAGAAUGGGGGUUCCUUGCGCAUAGGAACGAACGAAGUAAAGUGUAACAAUCUAACAAUAUAGACUUUGAUGGCUUGAACCAUGGAUAAUAAAAUAAAUGGAUAGGAAACUAGCUGACGUGACCUAAUGUUUUCAAUGGGCUGAUGGCGUGGUUGCAUAUUGAAACCUAGGGCCUGUUCAUAUGAUCCCGCUUACCGGGACGUCUCGCUUACCGAGACGAAUAUUUCCGUGCGUUCAUAUGGAGUAUUUCGUCCCGCUUGCCGAGAUGAAAUUACAUUGUAGUUCUAUAAUUAGCGUAUGCAAAACUUCCACAUUUCAGUCAAGCAACACAAAUACUUGGCGAUUUUAGUGUUUUUCUUCGUUUAUUUACAAGAAAAAGUAUUGCUUCAGGUGGUUAUUUAAUACUUGUUUACAAAACAAACAUAAAACUAAGUAAAAAGUGUUAAAUUAAACCGGCAAGACUUGUUUCACUUCAUCCCGGUAAGCGGGCUGGCGUGUUCAUAUGGAAAAAUUUUCAUCCCGCCUACCUAUGAUCUCGGCAAAUUCAAACGAGAUCUCGGCAAGCGGGCCAGCUCGCUUUCUCAUAUGAACACAAUGCAAAAUUUUAUAGGAAAAUAGAUAGGCGGCGAGAUCAUCGGUAAGCGAGACGUCCCGGUAAGCGGGAUCAUAUGAACAGGCCCCUAGUUGCAAACCAAAUUCUCAAAAACAGGCCUUAAAAUAUUGGUCGGUCACGGACAUUGUCCAACCCAUUCGUGAAAUUGUCCGACGUAGAGAGGAAACCACCGGACAUUCUGUCCGACCAAAGUGAAACUGAAGUUUAUUGUUUGUCCGACCCGAGCGUAAUGGUGUCCGACCAAACUGUAGCUUUGUCCAGCGUAAAUCAAAAUGUAACCUAGCCCAGGACUAGAGGCUUGUAUGUUAAAUGGAAAAUCAGAGUACUAUUGUGUAAAAGGUGAACUGGAAAUGUUGUUUUAACGUAGUCGAGCGCGGGGCGGCGACCGAAAUGGUGAAGUGGAAAGUUAACGGUCUUAAGUUGUCGAAAUCUUUUAAUACUGCUGUUCUGGGAAGCAAGUUAAUUUUGGCUUGGAAAUAAAUAUGAAAGAAACAAGUUAUUUAAUAUCUUUACAACAUUUACCGUUUAUUCAUUUGUGUCAUUCAGACUUAUUUCCGAGUCAAAACUGAACUGAAGGUCAUCGGACAAUAUGUCCGACCCAAAUUCAACGUCACCGGACAUUUUGUCAGACGGCCCUGUAAAAGAUAUUUUAAGGCCUGUCAAAAACGGC